rnacentral:lncRNA from 10 species
ACUUUGGCGUCGCCCCGCCCCGCGUGCCGCGGCUGCUUCGUGCGGACCCCACCGCGGGUCGCGGCAGGCAGAGGGGAAGUCGGUGCGCUGGUCGCCGCCCUGCAAACUCAGCCGAGUUUGGGAGCUCGCAGGAGGACUUGGGGAACGCUGGAGGGAACCUUAGUAUAGAGUUUGAGGAGCGGGCAAGGAAGGUCCCCAUGGACUCUGGGGUUGUCCCCAGAGCCUCUUCUUCCCUUCUGCAUCGCCGCCUAUUCAUUUAUUCUGCAGCAAAUAUUUAUUGAGCGCCUAUUUUAGGCGCUGAGGCUACUGUGGUGAGUCAUGGUCCUUGCCUUCCUGGAGCUUACAGUCUAAUGGUGGAGACUGUCGUGACCAGUUAAUAUGUUGGAUGACAAUAACCAUCUUAUUCAGUGUAUAAUGGACUCUCAGAAUAAAGGAAAGACCUCAGAGUGUUCUCAGUAUCAGCAGAUGUUGCACACAAACUUGGUAUACCUUGCUACAAUAGCAGAUUCUAAUCAAAAUAUGCAGUCUCUUUUACCAGCAGUUCUCUUGGGUUUUCUAUGCACUUAAUUAUGUCAUCAGC